GAUGAACGCUGGCGGCGUGCUUAACACAUGCAAGUCGAACGAAGCAGUCAGACGGAAAUUUUCGGAUGGAAGACUGACUGACUGAGUGGCGGACGGGUGAGUAACGCGUGGGCAACCUGCCUCAUACAGGGGGAUAACACCCAGAAAUGGGUGCUAAUACCGCAUAAGCUUACGGUAUCGCAUGAUACAGUAAGAAAAACUCCGGUGGUAUGAGAUGGGCCCGCGUCUGAUUAGCUAGUUGGUAGGGUAAUGGCCUACCAAGGCAACGAUCAGUAGCCGACCUGAGAGGGUGACCGGCCACAUUGGGACUGAGACACGGCCCAAACUCCUACGGGAGGCAGCAGUGGGGAAUAUUGCACAAUGGGGGAAACCCUGAUGCAGCGACGCCGCGUGAAGGAAGAAGUAUUUCGGUAUGUAAACUUCUAUCAGCAGGGAAGAAAAUGACGGUACCUGACUAAGAAGCCCCGGCUAAUUACGUGCCAGCAGCCGCGGUAAAAC
rnacentral:rRNA from 1 species